GAUGAAGAACGCAGCGAAAUGAGAUACUUGGUGUGAAUUGCAGAAUCCCGUGAACCAUCGAGUCUUUGAACGCAAGUUGCGCCCGAAGCCAUUAGGCCGAGGGCACGCCUGCCUGGGCGUCACACGUCGUUGCCCCCCCAUCUACUCCUUCGGGAUUGCGGGGGGCGGAUGAUGGCCUCCCGUGCGCCUCGUCGCGCGGUUGGCAUAAAUGCCAAGUCCUCGGCGACGCACGCCACGACAAUCGGUGGUUGCGAAACCUCGGUUGCCCGUCGUGUGCGGUCGUCGCGCAUCGAGGGCUCGAAAAAAUUGCCGGGCUCCGGCUCGGCUUUCAACGCGACCCCAGGUCAGGUGGGGUUACCCGCUGAAUUUAAGCAUAUCAAUAAGCGGAGGA
rnacentral:misc_RNA from 1 species